GAAGAGUCGACGAGAAAUCUUUAAUAUAAAAUCGUAAAUGAAAUGCUGUAAUAAAUAAAAAAGUCAUCAAGAUUAUCAUAACGAAAAAGGAAAUACAAUCUAAAUCAAAACAACACCGAGCAUUGAAUACUCAAAAAGUAAGAAAAGAACACAACAGGAGGAAAAAAGACGGAUGCAAUCACAUUAAAGAAACAUUAAUUAGCAAUGGAAAGACGGGUCAAUCUUGCAUUCGACAGGGAGUUUCGUGGCGAGGUCAGGGUUAAUUCCGAGAAAUUUGAUCCACCCGGAGCUCUUGAAUGUGCAAAGACAUGGCAAGUUUGCCUUGGGAUUGGAAAGAGCCGCACAGCAAGCGGUCGAAGGUGGCUGACCAGUUGUUCCGACCACGGCCGACUUGCAUGUCAUUAAAUCAGUAGGGCUUAUGCCACAAAUGGGUUCUUCACCCCUUGCCAUUGAGGGCUGGCUCCCAAUGGUUACAAGUAGAACCAUCGCAAAAAUUGCAAGCUUAGAGUAUGAUAAUUCCAUCUUGGACUAGUAGUGGUACAAUCUUUUUCUACUUGUUGGGAACUAUCUCCUUUUGUGCUUAUAAUUUUUCAUCUAUCAGUCUUUAUAUAGAAGUUGUAGCACAUGGUCUAGGUUAUAAGAGUUAAAUGGACUAUUAAUUUAUUAGCAUGUGAAUGAUGCUCUUCUC
rnacentral:lncRNA from 1 species